AUUAUUCUUCGCUUUGGAGCAUAAGUGAGAUUUUUGGCAGAGAUAAUUUUACACCAAUGAGGACUUAUUUAUGAAUGAAUAUGUUGAUUUGAGAUGCAAGAUGAAGAGAUAGCAGAACAGUGAGCGUCCAGGCCAAGUGAGGCACAGACAUUUCCAGUCUUCCAGUUGUGUCCACCACACAACGUAGCUGACAUCGAACUCAAACACCUUGGUUGCUGCAACUUCCUGAUGAUUCAAACUGGAAUAAAAAUUGGACAUCUUCGUCCAAUUUUCUUUGAACAUUUAGUUUGGCUAAUAUUCAUUGCCAUUACUAAUA
ensembl:lncRNA